rnacentral:lncRNA from 1 species
UCGCCAACCGAAGGGCUCUCACACCGGUUUAUAAGCCCGUCCCUCUCUGCCUUGUUGAGCUCCUCUCAAAGUGAAAAUAGAUGCCCUUAUACAGGGAAUUUGACCUAAAUUCAGAGUAAAUUUCUUUGAAUUUCAUAGAAAUUUAUUAUGAAUUUAGGUUGAAUUUUCUCUAUAGGCGCAUCUAUGUUCAUUUUUUAUAGUAAAUAAAAUAAAUAAACCUUAAUAAAAUAAAUAAAAAUAAAUAAACCUUAAUAAAAUAAAUAAAAAUAAAUAAACCUUAAUAAAAUAAAAUAAACUAUAGUAAAUAAAAUAAAUAAAACUUAAUAAAAUAAAUAAAAAUAGCAGCAGUAAAAUAAAUAAAAAUAGCAGCAGUAAAAUAAAUAAAAAUAAAAUAAAUAAAG